CAGCAGCGCCCUCCCUUCUUGCGCCAGGCCAUCAAGAUAAGGCGCCGCAGAGUCAGAGAUCUACAGGAUCCCCCGCCCCAAAUGGCCCCGGAGGUAGGAGUGACCUCACUGGGGAGAGAGCUGGCCUUGGGGAGCACUGUGGUCUCGGGUACGGGUGCCCUGCUGUCUGGCCCCACCUCUCGAAGGCUGGGACUGGGGACCAGCGACCCUCCCCUGCCUACUCCACCCUGGGGAGAGCCCCCUGGGCCAGCAGAGCAGGGGCUGCCAGAUGGACUCUGGGCCACUGUGGGCCUCAGGCCCUGUGGUCUGAGGCUCUCAGAACCCCUCCCUCCCGGUUGGCCUGACCCCAUCCCCUACUCCUCCAGCUUCAGAAGAGCCGACUCCAUUAGGUGGGGGUGUCCCUGCUGUGGGGUGAGCUGUUCGGGGAGCAGCAGACCCCCAGGCCGACGUGGCACCCCCCUCACCUCCGCUGCCGAGCCUCACUUCCGCUGCUGGGUGAGGAGCAGCCGCCACUGAUAAGCAGAGCUGUUUCCUCUGGGGAAGGGAGGGAGGUGGGGUGCGGGUGCGGAGGGCUCGCGCUGCUGGGCACCCAUGGACCUCAGCCACGGCGGGCCCAGGGACGGACCUCCAGGAGGCCUGCUGGGGGAACAGGUGCGGGGCAUCACUGGGGCUGGAGGCCGGGGUGCUGGGGCCCCCAUACCCUUGGCCUGGAUCAGGCCUCAGAGGAGCCAUUCCUGUCCAUCUGAGCCUGCUCUGGGCCUCCCGGGACACUGCCUUUCCACCUUGCUCUGCAGAUCCAGCCUCCAUCCCACCACUUCUCCCCCGAGCAGCGGGCCCUGCUCUACGAGGACGCACUCUACACUGUCUUGCACCGCCUGGGUCAUCCUGAGCCCAACCAUGUGACGGAGGCCUCUGAGCUGCUGCGAUACCUGCAGGAG
rnacentral:lncRNA from 1 species